AACGAACGCUGGCGGCAUGCCUAACACAUGCAAGUCGAACGAGAUCUUCGGGUCUAGUGGCGCACGGGUGCGUGACGCGUGGGAAUCUGCCCUUUGGUUCGGAAUAACAGUUGGAAACGACAGCUAAUACCGGAUGAUGACGAAAGUCCAAAGAUUUAUCGCCAGAGGAUGAGCCCGCGUAGGAUUAGCUAGUUGGUGUGGUAAAGGCGCACCAAGGCGACGAUCCUUAGCUGGUCUGAGAGGAUGAUCAGCCACACUGGGACUGAGACACGGCCCAGACUCCUACGGGAGGCAGCAGUGGGGAAUAUUGGACAAUGGGCGAAAGCCUGAUCCAGCAAUGCCGCGUGAGUGAUGAAGGCCUUAGGGUUGUAAAGCUCUUUUACCCGGGAUGAUAAUGACAGUACCGGGAGAAUAAGCUCCGGCUAACUCCGUGCCAGCCGCCGCAGUAACAC
rnacentral:rRNA from 1 species